AUAAGACUUUCUCUAAUCAUUCAUUCCCUGUGUGACUUCUUGCAAAGGCAAACCUCUUGCGUUUCGUUUAGUCUCAGGUGUCACUGUGGCCUCAAAGAUUCAGCACUGCCACUCUGAGCUCAAUUGCUGAUGUCUGAGGUAAAACACGCCCUUCUCAUUAGCAUACAGACAAAGAAAUGUAUAAAUAAAUGUGUAAAUUUUUUUUUUUUUUUUUUAUACAUUUCUUCAUAUAUUUAUUUAUGUAUUUAUUUAUUUAUCUAUCGUUUUUGCAGGUUUGGCCCUCCAUAAGCUGCCGUUAGAAGCUUCAUUUCCUAUAGAAACAGUCAGACGCACACUUAGGACUGCGCAUAUGCAUUUGCUUGAUCCAGCUAUUCAUAAAAUGCAUAAAAUUAAGGUUGAACCGCUGUUGUCUCGUGGACUACUUUAAAGAUGUUUUUACUACUUUUCUGGACCUUGAAUGUGGUAGAUUUCAUCAAAAAUAUCUUAAUUUGUGUUCCGAAGAUGAACGAAAGCCUUACGGGUUUAGAAUCACAUGAGGGUGAGUAAUUAAUGACAGAAUUUUCUAUCCCUUUAAAAUUAUGCAUGUCAAGAAGUUGGUCAAAAGCAAUGAUUGACACAGUACUGCAGACAAGUUGAAAUGUUUUUCUGAGCAAUUUUAAAUUCAUUGAAUUCAGCAAUUUUUUUCUGUCACAUAUAAUUUUGCUUUGCAAAUUUGAAUAUGGCAGCAAAUUUCAUUGCUCUUAAGUUCUACAGAGCAAUGAAGUGCUGAACUGAGCAACGCCACAUCACAUGAUCACCACUUUAACCUUUAUCGAGACUUACACUUUUGACUAAGCUAUGCAUAUUAAUUAGUAUGAACAGGCUGACUUCACACAUGCUCCUGCACUCUGACAUAAUGUCACAUUUGCUGAAAACAAAGUCUCAAAAAUCAGAUGUCUACGGAGAAGAAACACACACAGACAGCUUUUAUCAUUUACACGACUGAUUCAAAGAGACUGAAAAUGUCAGAGAGCAUUUAUGGCAAUAUAAACACUGAUGGAAUAUAUGAAAUGGACGGAGAAGACAGAGAAGAGAUGACUAGCGAUGCCAAUGCAGAUACUAUAAAGAGUCAUGAUGUCAGGAGAAGAACAAAGAACCAAACACCUCAAAAUACAGGAAGUGAUUGUGUGAAGAUAAGCUCCAGAGCAGCUGCAGUGUGUUUGAUGCUGCUCUGUGUUCUUCUGCUGACUGCAGUCAUAGUGCUGUGUGUCCAACUCUUUACAAACAUCGACCUCAAUUCAAUUUACGAACAUCGUUUCAAUUCAAGAGCAAAAACAUCAUGGAAGAGAGCUACUAACCAAGAUUACUAACCUGACAGAAGAGAGAGACAAGCUACUCAGCAAGAACACAAACUUGACAAAUGAAAGGGAUGCAUUAUUAUCCAAGAAUGACAACCUCACUAAACAAAGAGACCAGUUAAAUCAAGAGAGAAAUGAACUGGUGAAGACGCUUAAUGAAACAGAUGGAUGGUUAUACUACAAAUUCAGUUUUUACUUCAUUUCCUUUGUGAAGAAGAGCUGGACUGAAAGCAGAAAAUAUUGUACAGAGAGAGGAGCAGAUCUGAUCAUCAUAAACAACACAGAGGAACAAGAGUUUGUUAACAAGAUUUCUGGUCAUAAUGGAUUCUGGAUUGGUCUAAAUGAAGAGGACAAAUGGAAAUGGAUCUGUGAGAAGAGCUUUGUAAAGUAUCACAUAUAAUGAAAAAAAAGUUUAUUCAGCACAUUUUUAACAUGAAUAGAGGAUUUUCUCUUCUUAACCACCAAACUUAUUUACAUUCUUACAUUUAAUAUGGUGUUUUGCAUGUUACUAAUGUUUUUUUCUAAUCAUUUUAUCAUUAUUUUAUUAAAGUGUCACUCCACACUGGUCAAUGUCAGUUCUGUAACAGCAGACAGUGUUUAAGUGUUUUUAAGAAUCAUAUGUAGAGGAUACAACCUCUUAAACUGAGUAGCAUCCAGAAAUAAAACACACUGUAACCUUCUUUAGAAAGGUUUGACAUGAUUAAAUAUACAGAUUAGCCCUCCUGUUAUGUGUAAAUUUCAGAAAUGUUUUUGUGUGGGGUCAAAACGCCCCCAGACAUCACUGAUUGGGUAAAAAUGUAUACAGGCAUAUUGAAAACUCUGUAACAAGAUGUGCAUGUUUAUGAAUUCUUCUAAUAAAUACA